rnacentral:rRNA from 1 species
UAGGGAAUAUUGCAAAAUGGGCGAAAGCCCGAUGCAGCAACGCCGCGUGGGCGAUGAAGGCCUUCGGGUCGUAAAGCCCUUUUUGAGGGGAUGAGGAAGGACAGUACCCUCAGAAUAAGCCUCGGCUAACUACGUGCCAGCAGCCGCGGUAAAACGUAGGAGGCGAGCGUUAUCCGGAUUUACUGGGCGUAAAGCGCGUGCAGGCGGAUUGGAGAGUUGGAUGUGAAAGCUCCCGGCUUAACUGGGAGAGGUCGUUCAAUACUUCCAGUCUUGAGUGCAGUAGAGGGAAGUGGAAUUCCGGGUGUAGUGGUGAAAUGCGUAGAUAUCCGGAGGAACACCAGUGGCGAAAGCGGCUCCCUGGACUGUAACUGACGCUCAGACGCGAAAGCUAGGGUAGCAAACG